rnacentral:rRNA from 1 species
GAGGGAAAGGUGAAAAGAACCCCGGAAGGGGAGUGAAAUAGAAUAUGAAACCGUCAGCUUACAAGCAAUGGGAGCUCGAUUUAACGAGUGACCGUGUGCCUGUUGAAGCAUGAGCCGGCGAGUUAUAGGCUGUGGCUGGUUAAGACCAGAAAGGUUGAAGCCAAAGAGAAAGCGAGUCUGAAGAGGGCGUAAAGUCACAGUUUAUAGACCCGAACCCGGGUGAUCUAACCAUGUCCAGGAUGAAGCUUGGGUAACACCAAGUGAAGGUCCGAACCGACCGAUGUUGAAAAAUCGGCGGAUGAGGUGUGGUUAGGGGUGAAAUGCCAAUCGAACCCGGAGCUAGCUGGUUCUCCCCGAAAUGUGUUGAGGCGCAGCGGUAAGAGAAAAAGUCUGGGGGUAAAGCACUGUUUCGGUGCGGGCUGCGAGAGCGGUACCAAAUCGAGACAAACUCAGAAUACCAGAUGGAAAUCUUACCAGUGAGACGGUGGGGGAUAAGCUUCAUCGUCGAAAGGGAAACAGCCCAGACCACCAGCUAAGGUCCCCAAAUUAUCACUAAGUGAGAAAGGAGGUUGGAGUGCAUAGACAACCAGGAGGUUGGCUUAGAAGCAGCCACCCUUAAAAGAGUGCGUAAUAGCUCACUGGUCAAGGACUCUGGCGCCGAAAAUGAACGGGGCUAAGUGAUAUACCGAAGCUGUGGAAUACUAAAAGUAUUGGUAGGGGAGCGUUCCGUAUUAGUACGAAGCAGUAGCGAAAGCAGUUGUGGACGAAACGGAAGUGAGAAUGUCGGCUUGAGUAGCGAAAAUAUGUGUGAGAAUCACAUACCCCGAAACCCUAAGGGUUCCUCCGGACGGCUCGUCCGCGGAGGGUGAGUCAGGACCUAAGGCGAGGCCAAAAGGCGUAGUCGAUGGACAACGGGUAAAAAUUCCCGUACCGUAAAUAGUUGGUGCAGAGGGACGGAGAAGGCGUGAGCUAGCCGGAAGAUGGUUACCGGUGUAAGCGUUCAAGGUGUUGCGGAAUGGAGAAAACGUUCCAAGCUGAGGCGUGAGUCCGAGCACCUAAGGGUGCGAAGUAGUAUCUGUCAUGCUUCCUAGAAAAGCUCUAAACACCAUAAACUAUUAACGCCUGUACCCGAAACCGACACAGGUAGGGUAGUUGAGAAUACUAAGGGGCGCGAGAUAACUCUCUCUAAGGAACUCGGCAAAAUGGCCCCGUAACUUCGGGAGAAGGGGUACCAGCGAGAGCUGGUCGCAGUGAAGAGUCCCAGGCGACUGUUUACCAAAAACACAGGUCUCCGCAAAGUCGAAAGACGAAGUAUGGGGGCUGACGCCUGCCCAGUGCCGGAAGGUUAAGGAAGUCGGUCAGCGAAAGUGAAGCUGGCGACCGAAGCCCCGGUGAACGGCGGCCGUAACUAUAACGGUCCUAAGGUAGCGAAAUUCCUUGUCGGGUAAGUUCCGACC